GUGGCCUUGAGCUCCCACAUGGCUGCAGGCAUGUCUAGGGGCUGGAGCGUGCCCGGGGAGGGGCUCCAAGAGUGGGUGGGGUCAGCACCACCUCCCUCCACUACACAGCCCCCCUGGACUUGCCAUCACUGCCCUGUUACAUCUGAGCUUUUCUUCACCCUGGAUUGAGGACAGGGCCGGGUGCUCCUUCCUGACCCCCCUCCCCGCCCCCUUUGCCUCCCGCACAUCUCGUCGUGGAAGGCUGGGAGGGCCGCCUUCAUCACCCGCAUGAUGAAACUUCUGAAUAUUCGGACGUGGGCUCCUGGCUGGAGGUGUCAUGUCUUUCCCUCUGUUGUUGGUCUGGAGACAACACGGGCUCCCUGGUUUACCUGUGUAGUCCCAGGGCGUCUCAGGUGCCAGGAGCCGCUGCGGUGAUCGCCUCGUCUCCUGUCAGAUGUGGUUGGAGAGAGACGAGGACAGCAUGACCACUGGGCACCGCACACUACAGAGGUCAGCUUGCAAGGACAGCGGGACGGCGGUGAUGUGGCCGUGACUAGUUGUCAAGAUAUGACCGGGGCGUUUACUGAGGACUUCCAGGACAAAAACAAGCAUUCGGGUGCACCCUGGUUGCUUAUGGUGCUGUAAAACCUGCUCCAGAUGUCAUAUUUCUCCUCUGACAGUGAAAUGUCAGAGACCAAACAGAUAACACACUUCAAAAAUAUAGUACGGCCCCCAAAGCCAGCCAGCCACCUCGUCUGGUAUUCGACAGAAGAAGGAAUAACUGACCAAAGAUGGAGGAAGGUGAAUAUGCUGCACUUAGCAGGAGAAGGAUGUUGGUGUCCGAUGCUAUGCUGUCUUAAGGGUCUUCUGAGGCCCACACAGAUGGCCCUGUAUGUGCUGACUUGGGACCCUCACUCCAUGUUUCCUCGGCAGAGAGAGGGCAUCUCAGGCUACCUUCUCAAGCCAGUUUGGGUCAACAGGGCAUCACAGGUCACCUGUCGGAAGAGAGCUGGAGGCUGGGAUCCAGCUGGAAGUUGUGAAUCUGGUAUGGCUCCAUCUUACAGAGGAUUUGUGUUGGUGAAGAUUGGGAGUUAUUUUAUUCUUUCGUUAUGGGUCGUUUCAGCAGCACCCCUCAUGAUGCCCUUACUUGGACUCACCAGAUGUCGUUGUAGAAAUGGCUCAUAGUGGAACCCUCCCAUUACUGGAGGCACGCUCUUUCUUCCCAAAUGAAGGAGAAGUCACCCCUUUGGGUCUUGAAGCCGGUGGAUGCAGCUGAGACCUGGAUGCUAAGGAAGUAUCCAGAUGAAGUUUGAAUGUCUGAAGAUGAGUCCAUCAGCCUUAAUUUGCACUGCAUCACAUUUGCAAGUUGCAAAAUGGAAUUUGCAAUUGCUUUUCAGCAAUGUUCAAAUUAGCACUUCUUAGCAUAUUAAUGAGCUACUUUUUUUUUUUUUUCAUUAUGUGACCAAUUUUAAUGUAAAUAGCAGUCUCCAUGCAAAGAUUAGGUCAGUGUUUCACGAGAAUAAAGUUCCAAAGCUUUUUAUGGAGUCUGAGGAU
rnacentral:lncRNA from 1 species